CCUCCCCGCCCGCCAGGGCCCGCGCAGCCAAUCGGCGCCUCCGCGGCGCUGCACGUGACCUUUGUUGACUUACGUCAGUCAUAGCGCUCUUCCACCGCUGCGCUUCGGUUUGGUUGGCGCUCAGCGCCCGCCUCUCUCAGCGGCCUCACGCCAUUGGUCGGCGUCACGGGAGGAGGCGGGCUUUGUGCCCUUCGCGGCUUAGGAGAGGGCGAGGAGCCCGUCAAUCAGAGGAGCUUUUCGACGAUCAGUACCAGCAAGUUUGCUGAGCGCCUUUAAAAACCGGAGGGCGAGAAGGUGGGGGGAAGUUUUCGGGAGCGGCGCGGGCCGUGGGGGCGGGAGGAGGAGGAGGAGUAUGAUGCGCUGCGUUCACGGGCGGCGUUGCGUAACGAGAGCUCUGGGCUAGGGGCGUAGACGGCGCUGAGGAAGCGGGACCUCGCGGACGAGCCGGGCAGUGCCGUGCCCGCUCGGCCACGGGGCGUGGCUGCCUUGGCACCACCGGAUCAUAAUGGUUUCCUCGCGCGGGGAGAAGGAAGGAAGCCCACCCGCCGCCCGAGGGGCGGUUGGGCUGUAGGUAAUGCCUGCGCUGAAGGCCGGGAUAGGAAUGUCCUCCGUGCCUGGAUCCUGCUUCUCGUUACCCUCGCGUCUCGGCGGUUAGCUCUAUCCGCCGUAGGAAAGCCGAGGGGAAGGCACGGCGGCGCCAGCGCCCGUUCAGGGACUUUCCCCUCACGGGGGCGGAGCCACCGUUGGCCCGCCUGCGCCAACGGACGAGCGCGUGGCGGGGCGCGAGGAGAGGGGCGGGGCGGCCCUGCCUCGCACGCGCCCCUCCCCGCGGCUCACUGACAGGUGGAGCGAUGCCCCGUCUGUCGUCACGUGACGGGGGGGGGGUGGAAAGGAGAUAUCGCCUCGCGAGAGCGCUGUGACGAAGUUAUCGCGGCCCCGCAGGCGUGAGGGAGGGGAGGGGGCGCGGCUGCCGGCUGCCAGCGGAGGGCUGGUGGGGCAAUCUCAUAGGGGAGCGCGAAGGAGGUUUACGGAGCGUCUGGUGGGAAGUUGUUUGGCUUUAGAACAUGGGUCCUUCUCUUCUGAGAAAAAAAUGCAGGAAAAUAAAUACUUGACAGAAAUCAUCAAAGAAAAAGAUAUACCUGCGGACAACAGCGUGUUCAAAUACAUUCAAGAAGCAUAAGGAACCUCACACUGAAGGACGUAAUGCAAACAGAAGAGGAAAGAAGCACUCAGAAACAUGUUCAACACAGUAGAGGCUCCUGGGUUAUACACCAAAUGUUUUUUCUUCUGUUUGCUUUCCUUGGAAUAAUUUUUGAAAGCACAGUUCUGCUGUGCCUGGAAAAACUGCAGUGUCUGUGGGCAGAGGUGUUUUCCUGGCACAACGCAAUGACUGGUACGUAGAGUUCUCAUAGCUGUCGGGCUUGCAUCUCCCAGUUUUGCUUCACUGACAUUUUAUUUUUCUUUGUGUUUAAAAAGUAACCUGUUUCUGUAUAGAUAUGUAUGAGCAUCAUGUGUAAUGAUGCUAGUAAUAAUUUCUGAAGUGCUCAGAGGACUAACACCCAAGUUUUGUCAACUUGUAUGUUACUGUUAGGUGCUAUCAGUCUGAGGCAACAGUGUGCCUGCUUUUAAUCUGUGUUCCAUACUGAUUUAUGAAUAAGAAUUAAGUAAUAAUUCUGACUUCUUGAAAAUAAAAUACGUUUGUGUGUGCAUCUUAUAACACGAAAAAUUAGUAAAUUUGUUACUCUUAAGUAUUGCUUCUGCUGGGAGUGAUGAUGAUAAAAGCCUUGGUUUUGCAAGAAUAAGCAAGCCCAGGCCACACAGGAAGGUCAAAAACUGAAAAGAUUAUUCAGCACUUAGAGAGAGGUGCUUGUAACACAGGCAGUCUCAGCUUUCAAGUUCUUUUUUCUACCUCUGUCUCAUUAGUCAACCAAGUCUCACUGGAACUUAGCUUUCCCUUGAUGGUUAAUCAAGGGAAUUACUGCCAGCUCUAACGCUCCAUUACUCUGCUUCUACCAGAAUCUUUUUUCAUUGCUUUUCCUGAUGCGUGAGAUGUUUUCCCUUUUCAGAUAAGCUGAGUUCUUAGAUUCAAAUGAUAACAUUUACUCUGAGCUUCAUGUGUCCCAAGUCACUUGUUAGAAACUUCCAAAUAAUAUGUGUAAGAUGUGAUCUUGGAGUGUUACACCUUACCACACCUACAUCAAGCUUUUAUUCUGUUGUCAUUUUUGUGGAAAGACAACCUACCAAAUUAUUGUGGAACUUCCUUGUUUUAUUGCUUUCACUUAUCUUCAGGGAAGCUAACAAAUGAAAACCUGUUAUCAUGUUCAUCCUCUUUAUACAUUGUUCUGUAUUUCUUCCUUUUCUGAGGCAAAACAGAAACAAAGGAAAGAGAAGACUGUUGGUAAAAGGAGGAAAGGGUAGGAGACAAGCAAAACCAGGGUGAAAAUUUUAAGUUUUGACAUUUUUUCAUAGAAGCUUUUCACUUGAAAAAAACGUCCUAUUUUAAGAGUUUACAGUUAUUCUGUAUGAAAUAACAAUAGCUUUGUCUUUUAAAAAAAAAAAUAUCUAUCAUUUCUAAUGGAAAUUGGCAUAGCAACACCAAGGUCAAUUGAGGACAAGUUAGGCAAACUUUAUCCAUUGCGUCUUGAACUCAUAUUUAAUAUAUUUUAAAAUACUUCAUCUGAGUUGACAAGAUAUGCAUAUGGUAUCUGAGUUACCAGACUGAGGAGUUGUAGCCUUUCGCCUUCCUCUCUGUCUCCUGACUGUGGUGCUUCACUCACAAUGUUACAGCAUCAGACUUAAUGACUAAAAAAGACUGAUAAUCUAAAGCAUCCAGCAUGUUAAAAUGAUCAGUACAAAUUAAAAUCAUAAGUAAUUUGAGCACAUUUCAGCUACAAAAUGACAUUUUUCCAUUAAAUCAUAACCAUUUUUUUAAAUAAGUAGUUUAAGCCUUUUGAAAUAUAUUAUGGAUGUAGUCAUGAUUUAUUUGCAGACAGUUAUUUUUGUAUGUACUGAAGAAAACCUGACAAGUUUCAAUCUCGCAUUUCGUAAACUGGAUUUUUGUGUAUACAAAGCACAUGUCAGCAAUUUGUAUCAAAACAACGUGACAGUUGGCUUCUCCAUGUGGCAACUUGUGAAGAAAAAUAUUUGGGGGACUGAACAUUUGUGACAUGUUAAAAUGUAAUGCAGUGUACAGGAAUCAGUUAUUUAGAAGUAUCUUGUAUCCAUGUAACAAAAAUAAAGCAAUAAAAUGUGCUUGCAUUGCUAUA